rnacentral:rRNA from 1 species
AGAGUUUGAUCAUGGCUCAGAUUGAACGCUGGCGGCAUGCUUUACACAUGCAAGUCGAGCGGCAGCGCGGGGGCAAUCCUGGCGGCGAGCGGCGAACGGGUGAGGAAUGCAUCGGAACGUGUCCCGGAGUGGGGGAUAACGCCGCGAAAGCGGCGCUAAUACCGCAUAUGCUCCGAGGAGGAAAGUGGGGGACCGCAAGGCCUCACGCUCUGGGAGCGGCCGAUGUCCGAUUAGCUUGUUGGUGGGGUAAUGGCUUACCAAGGCGACGAUCGGUAGCUGGUCUGAGAGGAUGAUCAGCCACACUGGGACUGAGACACGGCCCAGACUCCUACGGGAGGCAGCAGUGGGGAAUUUUGGACAAUGGGGGCAACCCUGAUCCAGCCAUGCCGCGUGCGGGAAGAAGGCCUUCGGGUUGUAAACCGCUUUUAGUCGGGAAGAAAAGGCGCCGGAUAAUACCUGGCGCUAUUGACGGUACCGGCGGAAUAAGCACCGGCUAACUACGUGCCAGCAGCCGCGGUAAUACGUAGGGUGCGAGCGUUAAUCGGAAUUACUGGGCGUAAAGCGUGCGCAGGCGGUUCGUUAAGUCAGAUGUGAAAGCCCCGGGCUCAACCUGGGAAUGGCAUUUGAAACUGGCGGGCUUGAGUAUGGCAGAGGGGGGUGGAAUUCCGCGUGUAGCAGUGAAAUGCGUAGAGAUGCGGAGGAACACCGAUGGCGAAGGC